GGGAAUCAUUGCGACUACGGAGCAAUAUACAGAAUGAGGGAGAAGCUUGGAUUACAGUCCUGUGAGGUCAACACAGGCUCACCAGUGUCUGCGCCACCUGAGGUCAACACAGGCUCACCAGUGUCUGCGCCACCUGAGGUCAACACAGGCUCACCAGUGUCUGCGCCACCUGAGGUCAACACAGGCUCACCAGUGUCUGCGCCACCUGAGGUCAACACAGGCUCACCAGUGUCUGCGCCACCUGAGGUCAACACAGGCUCACCAGUGUCUGCGCCACAUGAG